AUGAUAUAUAAGGUCAAAAAGUUUAGAAAAUAUUAACAAAUGAAUCAGAAGCAUAAAAUCAGAGAGGUCCAUAGGAAAAUAGUGCAAAAAGCAAACAAACAAACAAAAAAAACAAAAAACUGAUGGCCUGAAUUAAGACACAAGAAUAGGGGAGAAAAGAGAGAUACCUGCCUAUUCUUGCGAUAAGGAAAUAGCAAUGAUUGACUAAAUGUGAAAAGAGAGAGGGAUGAGGAAAAUGAGUCUAGGGCAUUGGUUAUAUGGUUUGAUGGAGCUCAGACUCAAGGAGAAACUUAUCAAAUGGAUGCCACAGACCUGGGAAUUAAAAACAAAGAUCUUUUGAUAAAAAGUUUGAGUGAAAAUGUAGCAGAGAGGGAUAAGGUGGAAGAAGACCUGUGAAUAGUGAACCUUGAGACUCAUCCCUGUCCUAACUCAACCAUAAUGGUUCAGUUUUAUCUGUUUUCUAUUUUGGAGUUUGAUACAUUGGGUUCAGUACCCAGUUCUGAGAAAUCAAUAUUUAAGGGCAGGAAAAAACAUACAAAAUAUAAACAGUAUAUAAAAAAUAAAGAUUUAUACUUUGUUUGAAAAUUGAAACCAAAGUAACCAAGGUUUGCCUAGUUUUAAAAGCAUUUCUUUCAUUUGGAUGCAUCUUAGGAACAGUCAUAAUGUUGACAAGGAAUUUGUAGAGUCCAUGAAAGUUCUGAUGUCAAUAACAACAUUUUAUUCUUGAUGAAAGCUAACCUAUUUACACACAAGAGAAACUAAUUUUUUAAAUGGCAAAGAAAGUUCUAUACAUUAGACUAAGAUGAGCAUAUUUCCCUCAUUAUCUUUAGAUACUGCCAAUUUCCUAAGGAUAGAAUUUUUUGGAAUGCCAUCCUAUCUCCAAAAAGUAUAUUGCUAAAACAUGUCUGUGGAGUCUAUAGCUAAUCACCAAUAUAAGAUAACUAUUCUUUUCAUUAUCAUGACUUCUUGCUUCUCUAUAGCUACAUGCUUCCCUAAAAGUGGACUUAAUACACCAUACACAUAAACUUGAAACAUUGCCAAAGGAAUAUCAAGUGGUUGUCUCUCCAGAGUCUUCCUAGGGUGAUAAGAGUAAAUUUUCCAUAGCAGAAACUUGAGUCUGUGCCUUGAGCUAUCCCCAGGUAUUAUGGCAAACAAAGUAACCACUACCUUGGGAAUCAAUGCUAAUGGACAGACUUCUUUGCUUUAUGUCCCCCUUCAGUUGCUAGAGUAACAUUACAAUGUUCCAAGGACUGAUCUGGGGCUGACAUUCCAAAUAGAACUCCAAGUUAAUGGAGGAUUAUCUGAAUUUCUUGUAAAUAAACUUUUUCUGCCUCAGGUCACUAAAUCUUGUAUUUUUCCCAACAUAAAAUUUCUAUCCCAAAGAAACCCAAUACAGGUAAGGAAAAAGACGAUAACAACAUUACAUUCAAAAGAAUUCCUCCUCAGGCCCUCCAGCAAAGUCCUGUGACUGGACAGUUUACAUACUGCCUAUGUACAGAUGCACACAAUUAUUGCAGCAAAAUUUACUGUGCAGAUGAUCUGAAGUGACCUAAUUUACCACAAAUGCCAAAAAGACUAAUUCUCCCAGUAUUUGCUGGAUUCGUUAAUGGGCCUUUCCCUAAAAACAACAGUAACAACAACAAAAGCUUUAAAAAACACUAUUUUAGAAAAAAACAUAGGAAUCCUUCAAGAAUUCUACGCAGUUAUUUGUAAUUUACUACACAUAGUCCUAAAUCUUUUGGAAUUUUUCAACAAGCAAUAAAGGGUCUCUACCUAAACAGAUUUUUUUAAAAAUAUUCCAAAGAGGAGUCACACAGCUCAGUCACUGUAUUUGGAUGCAGUUACUGUGCAUUUUAUUCAUAGGAAUGCAUAGCAUGGCUUGCUGUUACCAAAAAAGACUGCUGGAUGGCAGAUUUUUAAAGAGUAAGCAACUGAAGUGUAAAAAGUCCUAGCAAUGAUAGAUUUCAAAAUCCCUUAAGAAUUUGCCCCCCUCAACCCUCCUGACUUUUGGAUUCCAAGGAGAAUAAACAUGACGGCUUAUAAUUAGCCUGACAGUGUUAAGGGUAUCACAGAUGCUCUUGGCCAACUGUGAUUUCAGAGUGAAAUCUGUGUCUUUUCUGUUAACAUUCAAGCUCUUUUCUGCAAGAUGGACUGUGGUACCCUUUUCCAGAUUGCACACACUUGGUUUCACAGCAUGUCUCAAGCAUAUAUAAAGGAGGACCUAGAUGCUGUGCAGAUGAAUAACAUGUUUGGGUCAGAUUACAGCUUAGAAAAUGCCCAAACAAACAACAAAAACAGGCUAAUUCCAUGAAAUGCACAAUGUGAGUGGAUAUCACAUUCCAAUACAAUUUCCAGUCCAAUUCAAAAAUUUGACUUACCAACUGUCUGUCACCUGUUUAGCAAAACAGACACAUUCUGUUAGCCUGAGAAAAUUCCCUGGGCUUUCUCAGCUUCCCUGCCAGAAAUUUUUAGUUUGUUUCCAAAGAAACUAUGUCUUUCAUCCAGCCCUUCCCUAAGGGCUUCUUUACCUGGGGGCUUUGGCAAUUUCAAAAUGAGUUCCCAUCAUAGCUCAGCGGUUACCGAACCCGACAAGUAUCCAUGAGUCCAUGAGGAUGCAGUUUUGAUUCCUGGCCUCACUCAGUGUUGUGUGAGCUGUGGCUCCAAUUCGAUCCCUAGUGUGGGAACCUCCUUAUGCCAUGGGUGCAACCCUAAAAAGAUAAAAAAAAAAGCAGAGGAGUUCCCGUCGUGGCGCAGUGGUUAACGAAUCCGACUAGGAACCGUGAGGUUGCGGGUUCCGUCCCUGCCCUUGCUCAGUGGGUUAACGAUCUGGCGUUGCCGUGAGCUGUGGUGUAGGUUGCAGACGCGGCUCGGAUCCCGAGUUGCUGUGGCUCUGGCGUAGGCCGGCGGCUACAGCUCCGAUUCGACCCCUAGCCUGGGAACCUCCAUAUAUCGUGGGAGCGGCCCAAGAAACAGCAAAAAGACAAAAAAAAAAAAAAAAAAAAAAAA
rnacentral:lncRNA from 1 species